AAAAAGCUCCUAGAGUCUCUUCUUUGAGGCAUUGCUCUUAAGUUUCUUGUGUAGUAUCCCACAAACUGUUUAAGCAUAUAUGAACAUAUUUGUAGGCAUUCUUUUUUUACCCAAAUGGUAGCAUACUGCCCCUGCCCCUUUUUUCUUCAUUUAACAAUAUAGCUUGGAGAACCUUCCAUGUUAGUGGAAAUAAAAAUGUUUCAUUCUUUUAAAGUGCUCCUUAAUAUUCUGUUGUACAAAUUUCUCAUAAUUUAUGUAGGGAGUUCUAUAUUGAAGUUGUUUCCAACAUAUUACUAUUUCAAACAAUGCUACAAUGAAGAUUCUUGUACUAUUGACAUGAAGACAUUUUGAUGUGAUCAAAACAAACCAAAAAGAAUGAAAAGAAAACAUUUUUAUUUAUUUAUUUAUUUUUAUUUUAGAUUCAGGGGGUACAUGUGCAGGUGUGUCACAUGGAUAUAUUGCAUGAUGCUGUGAGCUUCACUUGAACCUGUCACCCGGGCAGUGAACAUAGUAUCCAAUAGAAGAAUCUCUGUACCUGCUGGGUGAAAGGGAAGAAUUUGAAGCAGGAGACCCAAUAGAAGGCUGUAGCAAUGGUUCUGGUGGAAGAAGAUGGUGCCCUGGACAAGAGUGGUUGGGGUGGAAGUGCAGAGAAGUUGUCAGAUUCUGAAUGUGUUGUGAAGAUUGACUUGCCCAUGGACUGCAUGAGACAGGUGAGAUAAUGACAACUCCUUACUGUCUCUUUUUCAGAAUAACAGUAACUCAUAUUUGUUUACCCCCUUACAAUUUUCGACAUGGUUUAUACAUUUAUUUUCUCAUUAGAAUUCCCUACAACCUUUUUAUAUAUAUCAUUAUUUUACAUGUAUUUUACAUAGACAAGACUGGAAGAUCAGAGAGGUGAUUUCUUCUAGUGAUUUGAUUUUUAGUUGUUUUGAGCCAAGUUUUUUUUUUUUUGAAAUUGUCUUGAAAUAUGCUUGAUGGGUUUUAAGCACAGAAAUUACUAGGUAAGUUUAUACUGGUGAUGAAGGGAAACUGGUGUCCUCUGAUGUCACCUAUGUUUUAUAAAUAAAUUCACAAAUUCCAAAGCCAGAGAUAGUUCCAUAUUUAGUUUGGUGAGGAUUAAAUGAGUUUAUAUAUACAAAGAGUUUAGAACAUUGUCUGGUACAUGUAAGCCCUAUAUAAUAAUAAUCAUGACAAUUAUUAUUUACUAUUAGAGUCAGUACUUCCAAAAGAUAUUUGAAAUGGCUAUUUUAAAAAGGCAAAACAAAACAAAGAAAAAAAUACAGGAAAAAUUUGCAUUUUGAGUUCCUAGAAUAAAUCAGUUGCUGCAGUUAAAUGUUUUAGUUCUGAGCAUCUAGGCAGCUAUGUCAAAAAUGAAAACACUGUUAUGUAAUAUAGUUCUUGUUGAUUUGUAAUUGAAAUCAAAUUAGGUCAUCUAAAGAAAUGAACUUUUUAUGAAAUUCUAAUCAUAAUUAAAUGUGCAGAUCCUUGUACAAAGGGGCUUUGAAACAAUAUUUUGGACUUUCUUAAAAGUCUUAAAGAAGGCCUUUCAGGCAUGACGUUAAAUCUUAAUGCAAAGAAGUAUUGUAUGCAUGUGCUAAACCCACAUAUUCUAGGUGUUUAUUUUUUAUAAGUGUCCAUUUUCCCUCCUGUUGCCAGAGUGACUUUUAAAAAUGCAAACACGAUCAUGUCACUCCCCUGCUUAAAAUUCUUCCCUGACUCUUCAUUGCCCACAGUGGUGGUCUCAAGCUUAUUUUUAGUCAUGGAACCAUUUCUUCAAAUUAGAACUUACACAGAAAUUCAAUAUGUAAAUAAAAUAUAGGCUGAGUUGCUCUGGAUGAAGUACAGGUGAGGACCUGGCAUCUGCAUUUCCAGCUUCAUCUACCUCUCUGCUCGUGCACCUUGUUCCAUCCUCCAACCAUCAGGAUAUAAUCAGAACCCUUCAGUGUGGUCUAAACAACUUCCAUUCAACCCAUAAGUUGCCAUGCUGGCUGCACUUAGUUUGAGCUUAGAUGAGAAUCUAACUUACUAACCAAACUGGUACAAUUUUGAAAAUGAGUUGUUAAAAAAUUAACAUUAUAUGAGUUUUGAAAUAUUUACUUAUUGUUCAACAAACUGGUUUUAUGUUAUUGUUAAGCAUAUAAAACAAUUCCAUUAAAACUGUUUUAAAAGGUCUCUCUAAAAAUAUUAAAGCAAAAAUAAAAAACAAAGAUCAAAAAUAAAAACAAAAAAUAAAAAAUUAUUAAAGCAGAUAUAUUGAUUGAAUAUUUCAAAAAACACAAGUGUAAUAAUUACUCUUCAAACAUAGUACUGUAUUUUACUUAGUUUCUUAGUUUGGUCUGCCUUUAAGCCUAUGACAUUGUUUCUCUUCCUCCUCCCCUUCUUUUCUUUCUUUAUUCUUUGAGUAAAUAAUGCUUUUUUCCCUAAUUUGGUUCCAAAAUUUUAAUAAAAUUGCCUCUAAUCUUCAAAAUAUAAUUUUAUGAUAUAUAAAUGGAAAAUGUUUGAUAUAUUUACUUCUAGAUGAAAAUUCUAUUUUUAAUGAGAAUAUAUUCUCUCUGUCAGUGGUGAGGUAAUCAGUAAGCUCACAACAAAUGCGGCUAAAUAGAAGAUAUUCCCAAUUCUCUUUUAAAAUAUAUUAAAAUGGGUAAACAUUUUAGCCUAGAUAUUUUUCUUUCAAUCUGGAAUGCCUUUCUUUGACAUGCACUUCUAUAAGACAAAUCUUGUAGAUCAAUAUUUCUCAGGGCCAGGCUGCCAACUAGUCCUAGUGCUAGGCUGUGAGCUGGCAUGCACUAUGUGCCUACCCAGUGGCUUCUGGAGCAGGUUUGAGGCACCCACCAGCGAGCUUCAGUGUUGUCCUCCUACGAACUCAUUCCUGUGAGAGCAGAACCUCUUCGAGAGCAGAAGGUGAAUUCUAAAAAAGACCAAGCAGGAAAGGGCUGCUUGAAAAAUAAGAUAUGAAAACUGGAAAAGGCUAGCCAAGAGCUCAUUCUUGUUGCAGAUUUUAUUAGCCUUGUGAGGUUCUUGGAUAAAGCAAGCCAGUGGCCUCAGGUGGAGCUCUCCUUGGAGGAGAGUGAGUGGAGAGCUCUGCUUCUGAUGAGUGGUCUCUGUACAAGCAGCGAGAGCACACUAUGGACAGGGACACCAUCAAGGCUGUGCUGGGGACCCAGCAGGAAGCUCUGCAGGAGCUACCACUCAAGUCCCCUGAGUUCCCCACUGAGACCAUCAAGUGGGACUGCAGCAUGUUCCCCUUUGAAUGGGAAGGUCCAGAUUAUACACUAUGGGUCUCUAACUACCAGCCCCCCAAAGGCAGGUACAAUGACAUCACCAAGAUGUACACACAGGUAGAGCUCAAGAGAGAGUUGCAGCAGCCAACCUUGGAACAUGAGGCCCCGAGAGUCAGAAUGACCAGGGUUCCAGUCGGCUUUCCACAGAAUCAGGCAUACUGAUAAUAAAGACAUGUUUAAUCAAAAAAGAAAAAAAAAUAAAAGGAAGAAAAACGUUGUCUUUAUGACUGUUUGGAGCAUUUCACCAAAUUUAGGUUUUGUGAAAAUGUAGACUUCUCAACUCUAUUCCAUUCUAUUCUGGAACAGAAUGCCAAUUUAUCUGAAUAAACGUAGGAGCUCCAUCAAAAGACUCUUCAAGUUGAAAUAUUCCAAAGUGCAAUUAUAGAAUUUCAAAAUUAAAUCCUGUAUCCUGUUUAAAUUUGUAUUGUUAACAUUUGUUCACAUCCUUUUUUUUUGUAUAGACAAAUUUCAUUUGCUCUUCUGUAAGUUUUGUUUUCAAUAACUUUAAUUCUCUAAAAAGUUUUGCAAGCUGAAGGUUUUUGUUCUUCCACUUGUUGAAUGCCUUGAUUUAAAAUUUCAAUACUUGUUAAUAAAAUGUGACCAAAAUUUAGAAAACUUGUUUACAAGAGUUGUACGCCACUUGGGUUGACUUGAAAGUAAUUUAUUUGAAGAAUCAAACAUUUCAAUUAAAGCUUCAUGAUAUGGUUUGGA